UACGUAGGGUGCGAGCGUUGUCCGGAAUUAUUGGGCGUAAAGCGCUUGUAGGCGGUUUGUCGCGUCUGCCGUGAAAAUCCGGGGCUCAACUCCGGACUUGCGGUGGGUACGGGCAGACUAGAGUGUGGUAGGGGAGACUGGAAUUCCAGGUGUAGCGGUGAAAUGCGCAGAUAUCAGGAGGAACACCGAUGGCGAAGGCAGGUCUCUGGGCCAUUACUGACGCUGAGAAGCGAAAGCGUGGGGAGCGAACAGG
rnacentral:rRNA from 1 species